ensembl:lncRNA
UUUUUUUUUUUUUUUAAUUCACUCUCUCCUUGGUAGCCAGCAAAAUUAAAGCCCUUCCUCAUAUUAUCCUUCAUGCCAUCUUUUAUAACAAUCAGAGCCACAGCAGCAGCUGGGGCUAAACAAAGAUUAGGAGCAAUAAGGGUCAGAUGGGACAGACAGGAGAUCUGGUCCUGCAAAGAGUCAUCACCAAUGAGCUGGACCCACUGUGCAGCCCACCUGUCAAAUGCCAUUUGCCACCUCUGGCGGCGAUACCAGGGGCAGCUGGGGCUGAAUCCAAGCAUCCUGAGGUCUCACAGAAGUGCAGCCACCCCUGUCAUCUAGCCCCUCCCCUCAGAAGAUGCUCUGGGGAGCUGUCACACAUCCCACACUGCAGGCUGAUGAGAGACCCAGACACACUCUUGGGUCCUGGCAUUAUCACUGUUUCCUCUGGUUACCUUUAAAGAAGGGCAUCUCUGAGUGCUGGGUCCUCCACUGGAAAUAAUGUGGGGAAACUGUUUGGAUGUGCUCUGCAGAGAGGAGAAUUAUUCUUAAGCAAAGUAAGAAAUGACCAGGGAACUCUAGAUUUGAAUACAAUUUGUGAAUUCCUAGGUAGGUGUAGACUCAAGCCUAUUAGUUUAGAGGAACUUAUAUUUGCUAUGUUAUUUUUUAAAAGUCUUAAAAGUUAAAAUUUACAGCAAUAGCAAGGAGGAGGACAAAGUGCAACAGCUUUAACUAUGAGCUAAUACCAGGGUUAACACCAUCUGUCCAUUACAUGUAGCUUUGGGAUUUGGCAAAAAGGAAAAAAGCCACAUAACAUGGAGCUUUGAGCUCAUAAAUAGGUUCCAAAGAGUUGACAAGUAAACUAACAAGGCUUUUAUGGUAGAAGGGAGCAUCGCAAUCUGAGGCUCUCUGUGCCUUCUCUCCCCACUGCUGUGAUGGCAGCUGGCAACUGGACCCUACUGUCCAUUAACAAGACAGAGAGAUGGUAACUAUCCAGCCAAGGCCAACUUCCCCACACCAGGCAGAUCCACACUGGACUCUCAGGAAUCUUCAGCACCCUUUACACCAGCAGUGGUCAAAGUGGGGGGUGCAGCUGCCUUGGGACUGAGAGAGAUGGGGAUGGACACAUCCACAGGGAGGGGCCAGGCUCUAGCCCCUCUCCCCAGGCCACCGCUCCUCAGAGGCUGGUCCUUCACCCCAGCUUCGGGGACAGGGGAUGCAUGGUGGAAACCACUGCAGCUGCUGCAUUAGCAACUAUCGAGAGCUGAAGACUCUCUCUAGCCAGAGCUGGAAGGCAAACAGGUUAGGCUGACCUGCAGCUCAGGGUCAGCCCCAGGCCAGGCCACUGCCUGUACUGACUCCUGGGCCUCUACGCAGUGCACUCCACUUUCUAGGGCAGGCUGCUUGCCAAGGAUUCACAGUGGACCUGGCUGUUCCCUGUGGGAGUCACUGGAUCUGGACCCAGGACCAGCCUGCUUGCCAGGAGCAGAAGGUCAGGUUGGUUUAAAAAAGUAACCCCUGUCCUUUCCCAGGUCUUUUCCUUUCUCUUCCCCAACUACCUCCUUCUCUUCUCCAAAUUAGCCUUCUCUUGGCUCAGUUUCUGACCUUGGGGUGUUUUCCCCAAGGAACACAUCCAACCAUCAGGCACUCAAAGGAGCAUGAGCCUAGUCUUUUCCCCCAGCAAGUCACCCUGGUACAGUCAGUAGCUGCAGAGCACAGGGAGCUCCUGGCGUGCCAAAGGUCAUUUACAGAUCACUGAAAAAUCUGGACAAGAUGCUAAUGUCCCAGCUCAAUGCCCAGGUCCUGACUUAAACCUUGACUGUGUCUCAAGGACACUCAAUGUCAGGAUAUCUACGGCAGGAAGAGGAACUUCUGAGUAUUUCAGGCAUAACAGGCAAAACAGUCUUCUUUAAAGCUUGCAAAAUAUAUGAUUCUGUCAUUCCUCUUCAUCCUUACCACCACCAUGCUGGAGAGCCAGGGUCAGUCUUUCCAAUCAUCACUCAAGCUUCCAGUGGUUAUUGGGCACUCUCCCUCUUAGAGAGGGGACACUUCAGCAGGAACUCCAGGUAGACAGCUGUUCUGCAGUGGGCAUUUCUAGCCCAGGGCUAGCCUCUGAGACUCUCCAGGAGUGGCAUGAGGUGGGGUGGAUGGGGCUUCCUUGUCCUGGCCAUCAUCUGCUUAUAGCAGGCAUUCGCAAACUUUUUCUAUAAAGGGCCAGAAAGGGUUAUGGACCAUCUUCUUUGAUGUUUUUAUUUCACAGCUCUUUGGAAAUGUAAGAAUCAUCCUUAGUUUGUGGGGCUAUAUAAAAACAGGUGGCAGGCAAAUUUAGCUCACAAGCAGGCCGCAGUUUGCAGACCCCCUUCUAGAGGAAGAUGCUGAGGCCCCACCAAGCAGCCCCUCCUCACCUUCCCUCUCUAGUCUGACUCCUCCAGACUCAUUCCAGCUGCAUGUGGCACCUGUGCUAGGCCACAGGAUGGCCUCCUUGCUGCAGGCAUUUCAAUGAGAAAACAUGCUGCACAGCUCAUGAGUUACUCUGUCUCCCUUGUGUUUAACCUUGGAAGUACAAGGCCCCGCUGGCCUCACCCUGCACCUCAAGGUCUCAACUGCCCAUACUCAUGCGACCUUGUCCACCGUGUCUCCACUACAAGUUGCCAUCUGGUGAAUGGCCUAACUUGGGUUCUUCCUCCUAUGCCUCCUGUGUAGGUUCAGGGCAGGGAGAUCCUGUCAGUUCUAACUGAAGGCAGAGCCUGGAUCCAAUCACUUCCCUUCCCUCCAAUGCUGUCACUUAGAGCACAGCCACAGCCUCCCAUCUGGACUCCCUGCUUUCAUCUCCACCCUUCCCUCUCCUCUUCCAAAAGCUCCCAGAGGCUUCCCAUCUCACUCAAAAUAAAAGGCAAUGUCUCUGAGCAGUAAAAGCCACCCAUCAUGGUCAUCUAGGUCCUAUCACUGACCUGCUGAGCCCCACCUGGCCCGCAUGGCCACCUGGCCGGCCUCAGUGCCUCCUCUUUCCCCUGGCUGAUACUAACGCUAGCCACACUGGCCUCCUUCCUACCCUGCUUUUCUUCUUAGCCCUGAACACCAUCAGUAGUUAUAUAAUAUUUUGUGGGGUUUUUUUUCUGGUCUUGUUUUUCUCACUCAGAUAUAAGCUCUGUCAAAUAGAGUCUAACUUUAAUGUUAUACUCCAGGGUCUGGUGUCAGCCUUGGGUAGGUGCUUUACAAAUACACGAAUAUUUGGAGAAUGCUUGGGGACAGGAUGCCCUGCUGAUGGGUGAGAGAUGGUGGCACUAUCAUGAUGCUGUGUAUCCAUUUGCACUUGGAUACUUUUAUGCAAAUAAGUCUCUUGCUCUUUUUUUUUUUUUUUUUUGAGACGGAGUCUCGCUGUGUCACCCAGGCUGGAGUGCAGUGGCGAUCUCGGCUCACUGCAAGCUCCGCCUCCCAGGUUCACGCCAUUCUCCUGCCUCAGCCUCCGAGUAGCUGGGACUACAGGCGCCCGCCACCACGCCCGGCUAGUUUUUUGUAUUUUUAGUAGAGACGGGGUUUCACCAUGUUAGCCAGGAUGGUCUCGAUCUCCUGACCUCGUGAUCCACCCGCCUCGGCCUCCCAAAGUGCUGGGAUUACAGGCUUGAGCCACCGCGCCCGGCCGUCUCUUGCUCUUAAGCCCCCUCCUCCCCCACCUCAGUAGCCAGGUGAACUGAUAAGACAUGAAAACAGAUACACCCUUGGAGACAGCAGUCUCCAAAUUUUUGUUUAUAUUCAACCCUAAAGCAAUAACAACAAACUCAUAUUCCAACUAAACUAGUCAAUUAUCUCAGGGGAAAAUAACAAAUGAUUGCCUUAUGGUUUAGAGCACACCUGCGCAUGGCUCUCCCACACUCACCACCACCACCCUCGCAUGAGCACAGCGAGGAAAGAGAAAGCAUGGGCUUGCUCGGCAGAGGUCUGGGUUUCAAAUCCUGACACUGCCAUCUAUAGGUGGUCUGAUUCUGGACAUGGUACCAAGUACCCUAGGCCUUAGCUUUACCAUCUGUUAAAUGGGGAUACUAAUACUUAUUUUGUAAGAUUGUUGUAAGGCUUAAGUGAACAAUUCAAACAAAACAGCUAAAGCAUAAUGACUGUGCACAUUAAUUGCUCAAUAAAUAGUAAUUUCUCCCCUUUUGUAAGUGAGGAAGCAAUAGUUCAGAAUGUGAAAUGAUUUGCCUGAGGUCAGAAGGCUUGUUCCCGAGCAAAGCUGGGGUUCAAAGCAAUGGUUUCUGUGGAUGUAUUUUUUCCCUAGCAUCCAGCCUCCUUCCUGUUCAUGUCUACACCCUGUAGGCUACUUAUAUCAGUAGAAUAAAACAGGUGAUGGCUCUCCCAUUGACCUGCUUGUUGAGGAUUUGGGGACAGUUCCAUUCUAGGCUAAUGCUCAUUACUAAAGACAACGCUGUUAAGGAGGUCACCCCCUCGUAAGGAGAAAUCUGUGUCACAAGCAAGGGAUCAAAAAAGCUAAUAGAAUUCACCUGCCCUGGAUGUCAACUGCCCUUAACAGAUGCAAACUAAAGGUGACUGCCUGUCUUUCCCCAAGAGACAAACGGAAACCCCACUCAGUGUGAGAAGAGCACACGCCACGCAGGACCCAGACCAGUCAGUGCCCAGCAAGGAUAUGACACAGCCUGACGCAGCUACAUCUGAGAUCAAAUGCCAAGGACACAGCAAAGACUGAUGAAGCCACACAUGAGACACCGAAGUACAAAACCCACAUUCAGCUCAAAGGCUUCCAUAUAUGAUGACUGUUACCUACACACACAGUGUUUUUCUUUAUGAAGCACAUGUGUUCUAUAAUCCUACAAAGUAAAUUUUUGAAAAAAACAAAAUGAGAAACAAAGGGACACAUGGAAACUCUUGCAGGUGGCGGAUAUGUGUAUUACCUUACCUGUGGUGACAGCAUCAUGGGUGUAAGCAUAUGUCCAAACUCAUUAUACUAUACACAUUAAAUACGUACAGUUUUUUGUAUAUCAAUUAUAACCUC